GGCGAAACCGCGAAUGGCUCAUUAAAUCAGUUAUGGUUCACUAGAUCGUAUAUUUUACAUGGAUAACUGUGGUAAUUCUAGAGCUAAUACAUGCAACCAGCCCGGCUGUCUUGUACAGCGGGCGCAGUUAUUAGAACAAAACCAAUCCGGCCUCGGUCGGUAAACUGGUGACUCUGAAUAACCGAAGCGGAGCGUUAAGGUUUCAUACCUACGCCAGAUCUUUCAAGUGUCUGACUUAUCAGCUUGUUGCGAGGUUAUGUUCCUCGCAUGGCUCUUACGGGUGACGGGGGAUCAGGGUUCGAUUCCGGAGAGGGAGCCUGAGAAACGGCUACCACAUCCAAGGAAGGCAGCAGGCGCGCAAAUUACCCACUCCCGGCACGGGGAGGUAGUGACGAAAAAUAACGAUGCCAGAGCGUAUAUGCUUUUGGUAAUCGGAAUGGGUACACUUUAAAUCCUUUAACGAGGAUCUAUUGGAGGGCAAGUCUGGUGCCAGCAGCCGCGGUAAUUCCAGCUCCAAUAGCGUAUAUUAAAGUUGCUGCGGUUAAAAAGCUCGUAGUUGGAUCCGGGAAGUCGACGCGCGGUGCGCCUUACGGCGCU
rnacentral:rRNA from 1 species